AGUUUGUGAUCAUCUUUAU
rnacentral:snRNA from 1 species